UACGUAGGGGCCAAGCGUUGUCCGGAGUUACUGGGCGUAAAGCGUGCGCAGGCGGCUCGUUGCGCCCGACGUGAAAGCCCCCGGCCCAACCGGGGAGGGUCGUCGGGGACGGGCGAGCUUGAGGGGUGCAGGGGCUGGUGGAACUCCCGGUGUAGUGGUGAAAUGCGUAGAGAUCGGGAAGAACACCCGUGGCGAAGGCGGCCAGCUGGGCACCACCUGACGCUGAGGCACGAAGGCGUGGGGAGCGAAC
rnacentral:rRNA from 1 species